rnacentral:rRNA from 1 species
UACGUAGGGGGGCAAGCGUUGUCCGGAUUUAUUGGGCGUAAAGAGCGUGUAGGCGCCCGCACAGGUCCGUUGUGAAAACUGGAGGCUUAACCUUCAGACGUCGAUGGAAACCGUGCGGCUAGAGUCCGGAAGAGGAGAAUGGAAUUCCUGGUGUAGCGGUGAAAUGCGCAGAUAUCAGGAAGAACACCCGUGGCUAAGGCGGUUCUCUAGUACGGUACUGACGCUGAGACGCGAAAGCGUGGGGAGUGAACAGG